UCACUGCUGCCCCUUUAAAUACAGGCCAGCUGAAGCGCCUCUUCUGAGCUCAGGGUCAGCACCAGAAAAGAAGUGGCCUGGCAGAGCCUACAGGGGAUGCUCCUUUCCCUGCAGUUUUGAUACCACCCCAGGCCCAAGGCAAUGGCGAGAUGCCCCUGCGUGCCUGCGACCAGGAGGAACAAGAGAAGGGGGCAUGGGGGGAGGAGAAGGCGAGCCAAGCGUGGGGGGAGGAGGCGGCAGAGGAGAGUGUUCACCACCCACACGGUGUGCUACUACCGGAAAAAGAGAUAACCCGCGGCGACGCCUCUUCUCCGGCCCUGGAACGUGGCAGCGGUGCCUGCGGCGUCCCCACCAAGGCAAUGGACUGACUUUCCAGGAUCCAGGAGCCCUCCUAGCAACGGAGCAAGGCCCGAGCCCUCAUUAAACCUGCAGCUGCAUCCCUG